CGGAUCGUAAAACCCUGUCGUCAGGGACGAAGGUUGCAUGCCUAACAGGUGUGUAACUUGACGGUACCUGGAGAGGAAGCCCCGGCUAACUCUGUGC
rnacentral:rRNA from 1 species